rnacentral:rRNA from 1 species
UUUUAUUAUUAAUCAAUAUAGAGUUUGGAGAGUACAGGCAUUAAGCUUCAAAACCAAAGAAUAUGGCGGUAUCUUAUUCUAUCAGGGGAACCUGUUCCUUAAUAUGAUAGUCCACGAUUGCAAAGCCUAAGUUUGAAAUAUUCAGCUUGUGUACUGCCGAAUUAUAGACUUUUAAAGAUUUGUCUAUAAAAUUAUUUGUAUUAAAUAAAAAGUCAGGUCAAAGUGCAGCUUAUACUUAGGUGAGAAUGGGUUACAAUUAUAUUUAAGAUUCAAAUUAAUUUAUUUAUUUAAUAUAUUAAUGAGGAGGAUUUGAAAGUAAUUAAAUUUCAUAAAUUUAAUGAAAAUUGAUUCUAAGAUGUGCACAUAUCGCCCGUCACUCCUUUAUAUAGGAUAAGUCGUAACAUAGUAGGUGUAAUGGAAAUUGCAUCUAU